rnacentral:rRNA from 1 species
GCUUCCCUCUUUCUUCGUGCCUAAUACAUGCAAGUCGAGCGAACAGACGAGGAGCUUGCUCCUCUGACGUUAGCGGCGGACGGGUGAGUAACACGUGGAUAACCUACCUAUAAGACUGGGAUAACUUCGGGAAACCGGAGCUAAUACCGGAUAAUAUAUUGAACCGCAUGGUUCAAUAGUGAAAGACGGUUUUGCUGUCACUUAUAGAUGGAUCCGCGCCGCAUUAGCUAGUUGGUAAGGUAACGGCUUACCAAGGCAACGAUGCGUAGCCGACCUGAGAGGGUGAUCGGCCACACUGGAACUGAGACACGGUCCAGACUCCUACGGGAGGCAGCAGUAGGGAAUCUUCCGCAAUGGGCGAAAGCCUGACGGAGCAACGCCGCGUGAGUGAUGAAGGUCUUCGGAUCGUAAAACUCUGUUAUUAGGGAAGAACAAAUGUGUAAGUAACUGUGCACGUCUUGACGGUACCUAAUCAGAAAGCCACGGCUAACUACGUG